GCUGGAGAAGCAGGGCGCGUGCACGCUUGCGUCACUACGCACGGUAGAACAAAUCGACACGCUGCGCCUUCGGCAACAUCUAACGAUCGAUAAACGAUCGUACCAUGGCAUGGCUCGGAGGCUUUAUCUUGUCCUCCGUUCUCAUCCAUGCAGCGUAACGAGGUGGCC
rnacentral:miRNA from 1 species